CCUCACCCUCGCUCUCUCUCUCCUCUCUUCACGAUUCUGGACUCUGGCUUCGCGGCAUAGCCGGAGAUGAGGAGAGAGUCGUCACGAUCGCCGUUGCCGAGCGGGAGGCCGAGGGAGAUCUACAGCGUGGCUGUUGGAGCCCCGUCCUCUGCUUGUUGCGGCACUCCUCUUGGGUCUUUUCUCGAGAAAUCUGAGGCAGACGAAGCGGGAAUGCGUUGAGAUCAUAUCCCUAGAUCGAUAGUUCGGUGCUACAGAUGUUAGGUGGCAUCGACGAAUGCAUGAAGAGGAAAAAAAUGAAGAAACUUCAAGAUCAUCGUUCUCGAAUGAAUUUGAGGCGAAGGAAGCCGACCAGCAAACCGUUGAGGUGCAGAUCAUAGGCAGAAGACCAAAUCCCUGGAGUGAUGGAUUAGUGCUGUAGAUUUUAAGUUAUAAGUAGCUUAAUGCGGAUGAUGGCAUCCCGGAGCAAGCCAAGCAGUAAAGUUGGAACAUGGAUGUAAUAUUAUAUUUUCAUGAUAAUGAAUGAAUGAAGAUGAAGGUUGCUUCUUGUAUUUUGGAAGACUGUAGUCGGAAAAUUAGGGAAAGAAGACUGUACUAACAAGGAGAUCUACAUGCAGAUUUUGUUCAAACUGCUACUUACUUGGGAUUCUUUAAAAGUUGCUUCCUUCGGAGAGAGGAGUUUAGGAACCUGUCCUUUUCUUGUCUCUAACUUGUACCACUGUCAGUGCAAGUUUGCAACAGAAUUUUCUUAAGCAAGCUGUAAUCAUAGCUUCUAAGGCUAUCUUUGUCGUUCAAAAAUUGUUUGCUUGUUUUUAUUUCCCUAAUAUUUAUAGUAGUAGUUUGAUGGUCAAGUAAUUUCUUACAAUUCAAGUAAUUUCUUACAAUUCAGCAAUUUGGUUUCCUGUGCUUGAGAAUUGAAAUAUUCUGGUAAUGAACAUAAUUUGUAGUUAAUGGGUU